ACUCUUACAAGCUUCUACCUGAAUUUCACUUCCACAAGGGUUUUUUUUGGGAGCGGGAAGGAGGAAGAUCUGUUGUUUAUGCAUGCUUAAGUCAUAAGAUCUGCUGGAGAGGAGCAUGCAUCCAGAGUCCUAGGGCUGGCAGAAAGAGGGUUGAGAAGAGUGGGCUGGAGAAAGCUGCUCAAAUUCCUGCCAGAUGACUAAUUGGGAAGAAUGCUCCAUUCUGCUACAAAGUGGAUGCAGGUCUGGGGUCUAAUACAGCCAGGUACUGUCAGCUGCCAGGGACCUCAGGAUUAGAGAAUGGAGCUCAGCAUCUCACAGGAGGCAAGAAUGUAGAGCUGGGCUUCUGACAGACUUU